rnacentral:rRNA from 2 species
GCGACCCCAGGUCAGGCGGGACUACCCGCUGAAUUUAAGCAU